GCGCCGGUGGCGGAACUGGCAGACGCGCCGGCUUUAGGUGCCGGUGUCUCACGACGUGUGGGCUCGAGUCCCACCCGGCGCACCA
rnacentral:tRNA from 1 species